rnacentral:rRNA from 1 species
UACGUAGGGACCGAGCGUUGUCCGGAAUCAUUGGGCGUAAAGAGCGUGUAGGCGGCCAGGUAGGUCGGUUGUGAAAACUGGAGGCUCAACCUUCAGAGGUCGACCGAAACCAUCUGGCUAGAGUCCGGGAGAGGAGAGUGGAAUUCCUGGUGUAGCGGUCAAAUGCGCAGAUAUCAGGAAGAACACCCGUGGCGAAAGCGGCUCUCUGGAACGGUACUGACGCUGAGACGCGAAAGCGUGGGGAGCGAACAGG